UUGUGAGGUUAAGCGACUAAGCGUACACGGUGGAUGCCCUGGCAGUCAGAGGCGAUGAAGGACGUGCUAAUCUGCGAUAAGCGUCGGUGAGGUGAUAUGAACCGUUAUAACCGGCGAUUUCCGAAUGGGGAAACCCAGUGUGUUUCGACACACUAUCAUUAACUGAAUCCAUAGGUUAAUGAGGCGAACCGGGGGAACUGAAACAUCUAAGUACCCCGAGGAAAAGAAAUCAACCGAGAUUCCCCCAGUAGCGGCGAGCGAACGGGGAGGAGCCCAGAGCCUGAAUCAGUGUGUGUGUUAGUGGAAGCGUCUGGAAAGGCGCGCGAUACAGGGUGACAGCCCCGUACACAAAAAUGCACAUAUUGUGAGCUCGAUGAGUAGGGCGGGACACGUGGUAUCCUGUCUGAAUAUGGGGGGACCAUCCUCCAAGGCUAAAUACUCCUGACUGACCGAUAGUGAACCAGUACCGUGAGGGAAAGGCGAAAAGAACCCCGGCGAGGGGAGUGAAAAAGAACCUGAAACCGUGUACGUACAAGCAGUGGGAGCCUCUUAAUGGGGUGACUGCGUACCUUUUGUAUAAUGGGUCAGCGACUUAUAUUCUGUAGCAAGGUUAACCGAAUAGGGGAGCCGAAGGGAAACCGAGUCUUAACUGGGCGUUAAGUUGCAGGGUAUAGACCCGAAACCCGGUGAUCUAGCCAUGGGCAGGUUGAAGGUUGGGUAACACUAACUGGAGGACCGAACCGACUAAUGUUGAAAAAUUAGCGGAUGACUUGUGGCUGGGGGUGAAAGGCCAAUCAAACCGGGAGAUAGCUGGUUCUCCCCGAAAGCUAUUUAGGUAGCGCCUCGUGAAUUCAUCUCCGGGGGUAGAGCACUGUUUCGGCAAGGGGGUCAUCCCGACUUACCAACCCGAUGCAAACUGCGAAUACCGGAGAAUGUUAUCACGGGAGACACACGGCGGGUGCUAACGUCCGUCGUGAAGAGGGAAACAACCCAGACCGCCAGCUAAGGUCCCAAAGUCAUGGUUAAGUGGGAAACGAUGUGGGAAGGCCCAGACAGCCAGGAUGUUGGCUUAGAAGCAGCCAUCAUUUAAAGAAAGCGUAAUAGCUCACUGGUCGAGUCGGCCUGCGCGGAAGAUGUAACGGGGCUAAACCAUGCACCGAAGCUGCGGCAGCGACACUAUGUGUUGUUGGGUAGGGGAGCGUUCUGUAAGCCUGUGAAGGUGUGCUGUGAGGC
rnacentral:rRNA from 1 species